UACGUAGGGGGCAAGCGUUGUCCGGAAUUACUGGGCGUAAAGCGCGCGUAGGUGGCCUCAUAAGUCCGCUGUGAAAGUCAAAGGCUCAACCUUUGAAAGCCGGUGGAUACUGUGAGGCUAGAGUACGGAAGAGGCGAGUGGAAUUCCUGGUGUAGCGGUGGAAUGCGCAGAUAUCAGGAGGAACACCAAUAGCGAAGGCAGCUCGCUGGGACGUUACUGACACUGAGGCGCGAAAGCGUGGGGAGCGAACAGG
rnacentral:rRNA from 1 species